rnacentral:rRNA from 1 species
UACAGAGACUGCAAGCGUUAUUCGGAUUUACUGGGCGUAAAGGGCGCGUAGGCGGCCACCGCAAGUCGACUGUGAAAUCCCCGGGCUUAACCCGGAAAGGUCAGCCGAUACUGCGGGGCUAGAGUGCAGAAGGGGCAACUGGAAUUCUCGGUGUAGCGGUGAAAUGCGUAGAUAUCGAGAGGAACACCUGCGGCGAAGGCGGGUUGCUGGGCUGACACUGACGCUGAUGUGCGAAAGCUAGGGGAGCGAACGGG